rnacentral:lncRNA from 10 species
CUUUUUUCUUCCAGUCAAUUUUUUCUUUGAUCUACAGAACUUGCUUCUUUUCUCUGAAGUUUUCACAAUACAGCAUGAUAGAAGGAGCACAGAGUGCCAGAGGCAGGGAAUUCCUAUGCUUCACUAGUGACUCAUAAGAAAACUUAAUAGAAGGUCUCUACUGCCUGCUGGCCCUGCAGUACCUGAUUGAUGUGGUCCCAAACUAAAGUAGGCUAACCUUCAUUGAACCAAGCACUUCAGAGCCAUGGGAAGAAGUAUGGGGGAAGGAGUCCUUGUACUCUGGCAAUGAGGAAAACAAACAUUAACAGUGCAAGACACAGUGAGAGUCACAGAUCCAUGGAUGGACGAUCCUUUUGAGGACAAUAGAGGGGGAAUUUGGAUAAGUUUCCUGAGUGAGAAACCUUCCAGAUGGCAAUCUGAAAGUUAGCUGUUCCUUCUCAAAACACAGAGCUUUCUCAAGAGAAAGAUAACACCCUCUUUCAUCAGAGCGAGCGAGCUUUCUUCAUGGUGGCAAUUUCCAGUCUCCAGUGCAAGGAGGGGAAACUGAAGGAGAAUAAGGCGGUUACAUUCAGUUAGAGCCUGAGAGCAGAAUUUGGUUAGGCUGAAGCAGCUGGAAACUGUGGAAUGUAAUACCAGAGAGGAGACUGCCACACAAAGAACUCUAAAAAUUUUGAUUUUCAGCAAACCUUCAGAAGGCAAAAGGGAAAGUUUUCCCAUGGGCCAACGUGGAUAUGUUUCUGUAAUAGUCUGCUCAGCCUUCUACAACAAGAUGUCGCAGACUGGGUGACUUAAACCAGGGAUCCUCAAACCCUGGCAAUGGAUCGGUACGGGUCAGUGGCCUGUUAGGAAUCAGGCCACGUAGCAGGAGUCCAUAUUUGGAAUAACAACAAUAUAACACUCCUUUGGUAGUUAUAUUUUCUCACCUUCUUUACAGAAGAAGAAAUCCUUACUUAGAAAGGAAAAGAAUACCUCGAAAUUUGUCACUUUGGACUUCAAACAGAGCAGCUGAAGAGCAGCAAAGGCAGGGAAAGGGCUUUCUCUGAUCUACCCUUAACCGACUAAGACACUGUAUUAGGAUCUGGUGACAUAGUGGGAUAGAAGGACAAAGCCACGCUCUUAUGAAGCUUACAUUCUAGGAUAAUUC